rnacentral:rRNA from 1 species
UCAGAAUAAAAGUGAUUAUUUCUCAUAACUCAAAGAAUUUGGCGGUUAAUUAUUUUUCAGAGGAUUCUGUGUAUUAAUUGAUAAACCACGAUAGUUUAUACUUCUUAAUUUAUUUAUAUAUCUCUAUGUUUAUGAAUGUUUUUAUAGGAUUAUUUUCUUUUUGAUUUUUCAUUAAUAUUAGGUCAAGGUGUGGUUUUUAAGGUAGAUUACAUGGAUUACUUUAGUUUUAAUUUUAAUUUAGUUAAUUUAAUAUAUUUGAGUUACAUUUAGGAUUUGACAGUAAAAUUAAUUAAUUAAUUAAUUUGAAUUAA